UUCUAUGUAAGUAUACUUCCGGGGUCUUGCCUCCCUUCUGCCCUGAUUCUUCCCUUGUGGGUGUGCUGUCCGCAUGCGCAGUGGCCUGCUAGCCCUUGGAAAGGAAGCAUACGCAGUGUUUACUGGAGUUGUACGCAUGCUCACUCCAGGCGUUCUUCCCUUACCUGCCGAAUGUCCCUAGGAGGUCAUAUACCAGUUAAACUGCCCCAUUUUGCCUCUUAGUGUACAUUGUGAGCCCACUCAACCAGUUCCUGAGAUACUACUGGGAAGCUGCUGAUCACCAGUUUCAGGUUUUUUCCAUCUGUUGGGAAACUGCCUAUCCCUUGUGCUCGCUGCAACCAAUUAUUAUUUUAGGGAGACAGUUAACCGCCUGACCAUCACCCGAUGAUCGCCUGAUGUUCAUGCAUCCAUGACUACAUAAACUUUUUGGCCGUUUGACCAAAUGGGGACAUCUGGCAUACUGCUAUCAACCAAUAUGUAGUUGAAAAUUAAGCUCAGGGUCUGAGUUCUGGGAUGUUCACCAGUACCAAGGAGUCAGAAUGGAGGUG
rnacentral:lncRNA from 1 species